CCCACCGCUGCUGCAGCCGGCCCCAGUCACCAUCACUGCAACCAUGAGCAGCGAGGCCGAUACCCAGCAGCCGCCCACUGCCCCCCUCUCCCCUGCCCUCAGCGCCGCCCACACCAAACCCGGCACCACGGGCAGCGGCUCAGGGAGCGGUGGCCCGGGCGGCCUCACAUCAGCAGCGCCUGCCAGCGGGGACAAGAACAUUAUCGCAACGAAGGUUUUGGGAACAGUAAAAUGGUUCAAUGUAAGAAACGGAUAUGGUUUCAUCAACAGGAAUGACACCAAGGAAGAUGCAUUUGUACAACAGACUGCCAUAAAGAAGAAUAACCACAGGAAGUACCUUCGAAGUGUAGGAGAUGGGGAGACUGUGGAGUUUGAUGUUGAAGGAGAAAAGGGUGCGGAGGCAGCAAAUGUUACAGGCCCUGUUGGUGUUCCAGUUCAAGGCAGUAAAUAUGCAGCAGAUUGUAACCACUAUAGACGCUAUCCACAUCAUAGGGGUCCUCCACGCAAUUACCAGCAGAAUUACCAGAAUAGUGAGAGUGGGGAAAAGAACAAGGGAUUGGAGAGUGCUCCCAAAGGCCAGGCUCAACAACGUAGGCCCUACCACAGGCGAAGGUUCCCACUUUACUACAUGUGGAGGCCCUAUGGGCGUCGACCACAGUAUUCCAACCCUCCUGUGCAAGGAGAAGUGAUGGAGGGUGCUGACAACAGGGUGCAGGAGAACAAGGUAGACCAGUGAGGCAGAAUAUGUAUCGGGCUUACAGACCACGUUUCCUGUAACCCCGCCAAAGACAGCCUAGAGAGGACAGCAAUGAAGAGGAUAAAGAAAAUCAAGGAGAUGAGACCCAAGCUCAGCAGCCACCUCAAUAUCGGUACCACCGCAACUUCAAUUACCGACGCAGAUACCCAGAAAACCCUAAACCCCAAGAUUCAAAGAGACGAAAGCAGCCGAUCCACCAGCUGAGAAUUCGUCCGCUCCGAGGCUGAGCAGGGCAGGGCAAAGUAAAUACUGGCUUACCACCUGGAGCAUCAUCCGGUUUAGUCAUCCAAUGAGAAGAAAUGAAUAUGAAAUUCCAGCAAUAAGAAAUGACAAAAGAUUGGAGCUGAAGACCUUAAGUGCUUGCUUUUUGCCCGUUGACCAGAUAACUAGAACUAUCUAUGCAGGAUGUGACUUUUAUUAUUUUUACCUAAAGACAUCUCUUUUUGGUAAUAACAAACGUGUUUUUAAAAAAAGCCUGGUUUUUCUCACUAUACCUUUAAAGGUUUUUAAAUUGUUUCAUAUCUGGUCAAGUUGA